GAUGAACGCUGGCGGCGUGCCUAAUACAUGCAAGUCGAGCGAAUGGAUUGAGAGCUUGCUCUUAUGAAGUUAGCGGCGGACGGGUGAGUAACACGUGGGUAACCUGCCCAUAAGACUGGGAUAACUCCGGGAAACCGGGGCUAAUACCGGAUAACAUUUUGAACCGCAUGGUUCGAAAUUGAAAGGCGGCUUCGGCUGUCACUUAUGGAUGGACCCGCGUCGCAUUAGCUAGUUGGUGAGGUAACGGCUCACCAAGGCAACGAUGCGUAGCCGACCUGAGAGGGUGAGCGGCCACACUGGGACUGGGACACGGCCCAGGAUCCUACGGGAGGCAGCAGUAGGGAAUCUUCCGCAAUGGACGAAAGUCUGACGGAGCAACGCCGCGUGAGUGAUGAAGGCUUUCGGGUCGUAAAACUCUGUUGUUAGGGAAGAACAAGUGCUAGUUGAAUAAGCUGGCACCUUGACGGUACCUAACCAGAAAGCCACGGCUAACUACGUGCCAGCCGCCGCGGUAA
rnacentral:rRNA from 1 species